AAAAAAUAUUUUUUAUAUGUUAUAUUUUCAUAUUUCGAAAUUUUGAGGACUAAAAUGAAAUAUAUUUUAAAUUCAUAUUUUAUUUGGGUUAAAUAAUUAAAUUUUAAUAGAGUGGAUACGAAAAGGUCGAUUCGAAUAUUUCAACUCCAAGUUAUUUCAUUUCGAAAGGGUUGUUUGAAACGAGCUUUUCAUUUCAAUUAAAGUCUUGAAGGAAAACGUGCUACUGCCACGUAAUGGGUGUUUGGGAGUUUUUAAUAAUUUAUUUAUUUAUUUAUUUUGAUUUGAAAUUUGGUCAGGGUAGAGUUCCAUGUGUAAAAAAUGAUAGAAUAGGUAGGUUACCUUUAUAUUAUUUAAUUGCCUAGAUUUUAGGGAUUAUUUGCUUGAAUUGUGUGAUUGAAUUGACAGGUGAGGUUAGAUAAAAUUUGCUUUAAUUUUGGGGAUUGAAUAGGUUGUCAAUUAAUUUUAUUUUAACAUUAAGUAUUUGCUUUGAUUUUUGGGAAUUCAUAAGUAUAGCUUCCCCCGUGUUUCUUGAAUGGGAAAGGAAAUGGAUUAUAACGGGAUUGGAACUGUUUGGGGGUGGAAACAUGGCACUUUGCAUUUUUGGCCUCCAAUAUUCCAUUUUCACCUUUAUAAUACCAUACGAAGGUUCUUGUUAUUUACCCUAGAAAAUUUAGAUACACAUAUACAAUGGCAGUAGCAACAUUUACAAAAAUAAGUUUGGAACGGAUUUUGAAUUUUGCCUUUCAAAAACUAUUUUAUCUCACGAGGUUGGAUUUCGAGGUGCAAGUGGUUAGUCCCGUUUAAUUUUAUUUCCUCAUGUUGAUAGAUAUUAUGCUAAUGAAAAUUAUGAUAUGACAUGAAAUGG
rnacentral:lncRNA from 1 species